rnacentral:rRNA from 1 species
UACGGGGGGGGUAAGCGUUGUUCGGAAUUACUGGGCGUAAAGGGCUCGUAGGCGGCCAACUAAGUCGGACGUGAAAUCCCUCAGCUUAACUGGGGAACUGCGUCCGAUACUGGAUGGCUUGGAUUCGGGAGAGGGAUGCGGAAUUCCAGGUGUAGCGGUGAAAUGCGUAGAUAUCUGGAGGAACACCGGUGGCGAAGGCGGCAUCCUGGGCCGGUAUUGACGCUGAGGAGCGAAAGCCAGGGGAGCAAACGGG